UACAGAGACCCCAAGCGUUAUCCGGAAUCAUUGGGCGUAAAGCGUUCCGAUAGGUGGUUUUGUGUGUCUGAAGUGAAAGACCGGAGCUUAACUCCGUGUUUGCUUUGGAAACUGCAAAACUUGAGUAGUAAAGAGGUGGCUGGAACUCUGCAAGUAGCGGUGAAAUGCGUUGAUAUGCAGGGGAACACCAAAAGCGAAGGCAGGCCACUGGGUACUUACUGACACUGCUAGGACGAAAGCGUGGGUAGCGAAUAGG
rnacentral:rRNA from 1 species